ensembl:lncRNA
CCAGGUAGUAUACAUUCCUGGGCUUACCUUGACCCGAGUGCAAAACCUUGCACUUUGCUAUGUUGAGCCUCACUACAUUCGCAUGGGCCCAAAUUCUGAGUUUAUCAAUGCUCCUCUGGAUGGCAUUCCUUUCUUCUGCUGUAUCAGCUGUAUCACUCGGCUCAGUGCCAUCAACAAACUUGACCCUACAUUCUUUUGGACCCAAGUUAUAAAAAAUUACGAGCCAUUUUUAUAUUGACAUUAAUAAAAUCAUUCACUCUUGCCAGCUCCUUUACUGCUCCUCCUACCAUGGCCCCACAGCUGCAGCACAUCUCACCACGCCAUCUCGAGGUCACUAAUUCAGUAUUUACAAGCAUCACAUUUUACUUGUUGAUCACACACAUACCCAGAAGGCAAAUGCAAAGAGACAUGAUGAAAAAAUUCUGAAUUUGAGCAGUUAACUGGCUCAGCAUUUCCUGAAAGCAUGGAAUGACAGAAUACAUGUAACGUAUAAUGCUCAUCACUUCCCACACAAGCCUGACCUGCACACCCGCUGUCUAAAUGAAGGAGCUCGUUGCACAGUAACAAAUAGCGAGGAGCUUGCACCAAAGCUCAUUUUGUACCAGUAUGCUCAUAUUCUCCAUAGAGCAGAACUGUCCCUGUAACCAGUGAGAAAUGUGGCUUUUGUAGCAAGUGACCCAGUUCAUGCUUGUUCUGUAUUACCAAGGCAUGUCCGUAGAGUUGUGUCAGCAAGGAUUGUAAGACACAUCCCCAUCAAAAACACGUGUGGAAGCAAAACUCUUUUCAUGCUGUUAUUGCAAGUUACCAAAAAAUUGCUUUCAGAUUUCUGUCAGGGAAGUACAAGGAGCAGCAGAACUAACCUGGCAGAUAAAUCGCUCCCAUACAGGCCCUGCUGAAGUCCUCAUGCCAGCAAACUGGGGUUCAGGCAUUCUUAAAUAGACACAGCUGAACUAGAUUUUGCCAAAGGAUUUAUGAAUGCAACACCUUUCAUUUGACCUUGCAUAGGUGCAACUCUCUUAAUUCUUUAGGAUGUUUGUUUUGUGGGAUGCUUUCUUUGCCAGCAGUACGUCUGUAACAAUGUGCUGAAGAAUUAAUUU